AAAAACAUGGCCACUCGUGAGCCAAUUGAAUUUAUAUCAAAAAAUCGUUUAUUUAAUUUAUACUCUUUUGAACAGUGUAAUAAUUAUAUAAUAAUGAACACAAGUUGAUCAGUAAUUAUGGCACUAUUUGGUCCAAGCAGAAAAUAUAACGAAUUCAAGGACUAUACAUAAGGCUAGUGGAAGUGUGGACAUCACAAUAUUUGCUUACGUGAUUCAUAAAAGAAUUAAAUGCUAGUAACUUUUCCUGAGGGUUAAAUCACUGUAAAGAAGGGAUCACAAGUUGGAAGAAGUCAUUUCGGGAAGAUUUAGAAGUAGAAAAGCUACGCUUAUUAUGUGAUACACAUCGGCACUGACUUCCGUGAAAAAAAUUUAUAAUAAAGCAGUGAAAACAUGAAAAAAUUAUGAAUUUGCGGAGAUGGGUUAAUUUCUGGGAGAUUCUUGCUUGUCUGUGGAGUGCGGAAGGCCGUCCAGAUUUCCGGGAAACUCCCGUGAGAUAAUCAUUGAAGAAGAAAAGGUGUUUAAUAUUAUACACAAAGUGCAGUGAGCCCUCUAUUCCGAUGCAUUUCUAUGCUCAGUACAGUGAUGACUAUCACUCUGAUUAUUGCAGUUGAAUAAAAGUUGCUGGUUCAAAUAAAACGUAUGUCUACUAAACUUUAUUAAAUUGACAAGGUUUGAUGUAAAUCUUAUGUGUAUAUCCAGAUAAGAUACAGUAUUAUUGUAUCUGGAUUUCCACUGAAGUUUAUAGAUUUCCUAUUUAACUGUAUUAAAUAAACCAAUUGGUUCCAGUUCAGUUCUGUUUUGGUCACCUACGAUUGAUCGACAAAUAUCCUGAUAACUGGAUGGUUUGUUCGAUCCAAGCUUAAGAUUUAAGUGAGAUCCAUGUCUGAUAAUAAUUUUUCAUCCAUUUGACUGUCUUUUAAAAAUGACUGAAUGUUCUAAUUUCGAUGGUGCAUCGUGCUUUUCAAAAGGAACAUUGACUAGUAUUAUUAAUUAGAACCAAUCAUAGAAAUAAACAAUAAUUCAUACUAAAAAUAAUGUCAAAGAGGAAAAUUAAGAAAACGGAAUCAAACCAAAAAUAAUGUAAUAAUUUACUGUAGACACAUUAGUAAUGUGAGUAUCAUUUCCGAAAACAUUGAAAGGGUGGGUCUAUCUAUGUCUAUCAUAUAAUUUUUUUCAGCAGUAAAAUUUUGUCUACACUAUCAAAUUUUAUGUGAUAAAAAAAUGUGACGUGCCUAUAUAUAGAUAUGAUAACGUCAUAUCACAUUAAUAUCAAAUUGUAUAAAAAAAAUGAACGUGUUCAAAUCCCACGUUCCAUCACAUUUUAUGUGACGGUUUUUAGAUGAAAUUUUAACAGUGUUGACAAAACAAGUAGGGAUGACUGGCCGGAUUGCCCAAAAGCAACGCAAAUUUACUGUCACGGGGCUUUCCUUCCUGGCAGCACAAACAGUACAAAAUACAUAAUAUAUUCGAAUAUAAAAAUAGAUAAAUAUAAAUAAAACGUCUCUUUUAAAUAUUUUAUUUACAAUGUUACUAAAGAUUUUAUUUGGUUGAAAGUAAUUUACUCUAUAGCUUCCAGAGUGGUUUUAAGGUUUUCCGUUGAAUCAAUUACCUUUUUGUCUGUAUUCAUUUCAACAGGUAAAAUAAGCAUAUCACACCAUAUAGAUAGAAAAAAGAGAUCACACCAACGCUUUGACCUCCGACACGCAUGGACUAGUCAGCUAAUAUUUAUUUUUUCUCCUUUUAUUCUAAAGCUUGUUCAUUUAUGUCAAUCGUACGAAUCAAUUUUUUGGGUUUGUUUUUAAUAUUUCUCUACUCUAUUUUCACAAGACGUUUACAUUACAUCAAUUUGUGUCAAAAAGUUUUAUGUUAGGCCUACUAAGUUUUUUUUAACAUAAAAAAAUUCCCAAAACAGGUUUAAAUUAAAAAUAAAAUUGUUGGCAUAUUCAGGAAGGCUCUAAUUGUUUGUCUGCCUUGAACUUUAUUAAAUCGC